CCUACGGGUGUCUGCAGUCGAGAAUCAUUCACAAUGGAGGCAACCCUGAUGGUGCUACGCCGCGUGGGGGCAUGAAGGUCUUCGGAUUGUAAACCCCUGUCAUGUGGGAGCACAUGACACAGCUAGUACCCCAUGAAGAAGAGACGGCUAACUCUGUUACAGCCGCCGCGGUCAUACAGAGGUCUCAAGCGUUGUUCGGAAUCACUGGGCAUAAAGCUUGCGUAGGCUGUUUCGGACGUCGGGUGUGAAAGUCGCGGGCUCAACCCGCGGACGGCAGAUGAUACUGCGAGCCUAGAGUAAUGGAGGGGGAACCGGAAUUCUCGGUGUAGCAGUGAAAUGCGUAGAUAUCGAGAGGAACACUCGUGGCGAAGGCGGGUGCCUGGACAUUAACUGACGCUGAGGCACGAAGGCCAGGGGAGCGAAAGGGAUUAGAUACCCUUGUAGUC
rnacentral:rRNA from 1 species